AAUACGCAGAACCUAGAAUAGAUAGCUGCUUGGUUAUCAGUGCGUAUAUAUACGUGCGGCAGUCGUGAGACCCAUUUGAAGUCGAAUAGCUGAACAGUUGGUCUACAAACACGAAAAAAGAUGAAAGUUUGUGCCACUGUCGCUGCCCUGUACGUCCUGUUAGUAGGAAUAACUGCGAAGGCCUUGCCUAGACAGAUUGGCGAAUCGUGUCCACUAUUUUGCCCCGCCCUCUACGCACCUCUGUGUGGCUCCGAUGGAAAAACAUACGAUAACAAUUGCCUGUUUCACCGAGCCCAGUGCAUGGAUCAGACCGGAAGUCUCACCAUCGUGUCGCACCGUUCAUGUGAUGAUGAGCUGGUGGCAUCGUGAAUCCCUCGGGGGACAAUUUGAAUAAAUUAUACCGAGAAUAGAA